UACCAGCUCUCCGAGUGGUAGGGAUGAUUAUUGGGCUUAAAGCGUCCGUAGCCGGCUUAGCAAGUCUCCUGUUAAACUCAGCGACCUAAUCGUUGAAUCGCGGGAGAUACUACUAGGCUAGGAGGCGGGAGAGGUCGACGGUACUUCUGGGGUAGGGGUGAAAUCCUAUAAUCCCAGGAGGACCACCAGUGGCGAAGGCUGUCGACUAGAACGCGCUCGACGGUGAGGGACGAAAGCUGGGGUAGCGAACCGGAUUAGAUACCCGGGUAGUCCCAGCUGUAAACGAUGCGGGCUAGGUGUUGGGAUGGCUACGUGCCAUUUCAGUGCCGCAGGGAAGCCAUUAAGCCCGCCGCCUGGGGAGUACGGCCGCAAGGCUGAAACUUAAAGGAAUUGGGCGGGGGAGCGACCACAAGGCGUGAAGCUUGCGGUUC
rnacentral:rRNA from 1 species